rnacentral:rRNA from 1 species
GACGAACGCUGGCGGCGUGCUUAACACAUGCAAGUCGAACGGAAAGGCCCUGCUUUUGUGGGGUGCUCGAGUGGCGAACGGGUGAGUAACACGUGAGUAACCUGCCCUUGACUUUGGGAUAACUUCAGGAAACUGGGGCUAAUACCGGAUAGGAGCUCCUGCUGCAUGGUGGGGGUUGGAAAGUUUCGGCGGUUGGGGAUGGACUCGCGGCUUAUCAGCUUGUUGGUGGGGUAGUGGCUUACCAAGGCUUUGACGGGUAGCCGGCCUGAGAGGGUGACCGGCCACAUUGGGACUGAGAUACGGCCCAGACUCCUACGGGAAGCAGCAGUGGGGAAUAUUGCACGAUGGGCGGAAGCCUGAUGCAGCAACGCCGCGUGCGGGAUGACGGCCUUCGGGUUGUAAACCGCUUUCGCCUGUGACGAAGCGUGAGUGACGGUAAUGGGUAAAGAAGCACCGGCUAACUACGUG